UUACGGCGAUACUACGUUGAAACACCGCUUAUUGUACGAUCACUGAAGUUAAGCAACAUCAAGCCGGAUCAGCACCUCAAUGGGUGACCGCUUGGAAUACCAAGUGUUGCAA